UUGAGCUUUGGGCUGGAACAUCAGGUAUCCCAGCCCAUGAGUAGGAAGGUUUGGGAGCCUCGCCAGGAAGGAGCAACCAGCUUCAACAUGCCCGUGAGGAUGAUGCAGCACACUCCCAAAUGAGAAUGAGGUGCUUAAACACUGUGACUGUGAUUGAUACAGGAGUCAGAGGCUUAAUCUGCGGUCUGUAGGAGCACGCACACUUCCUGUGUGAGCCCUGAAGGUAGGAGAUGCCUUGGCCAUACCGCCACCUCACAUCCCCUUCCUGCACACGGGCCCUGGAGCAGACCGGGAGAGGGCUACCCCAGGGGCCCGCCUACCCCGCACCGAGGCUGGUCCGAAAACUGUCAAUACACACAGGAAGAGAGAGAAGGGAAGAAUCUUGGCUCAGCUGAAACCCAAAUGCCAGGCUGUGCCUGGCCAGCCAGCUGGGCUCAAGCAUCCCCCUGCUCCCAGUGGCACAUGUGUACCAGGAGAAAAACA